CAGCGGGACCUGCACUGCUAAUGGUCUGUACCAACCUCGCCAGCUGAGGCGGGGGGCCCUCCCUGCGACGGGCGGAGGACAGAGGGAGGGAGGAGCAGCGAGGAAAGGUCCCCUCGUGGGCUUGGUAUCUACUCCCCCCUCCCCCAGAACCCUCCACACCACCCCAGCCUCUUGGACUCCCACGGCGCGGAUCGAGGACGGAUGCUCUGGGGAGGGGGCUGCAGGCCCAGGGAAGGGGCCUUGGACAUCUCGCUCUCGCUCCUCUAGAGUUAAACCCGGCUGGGAUGCCCGCUGCCACCCCCUACCCCCACCCGAGCCGUUCCUGGCUCUCAGCUCAGCAGCUUCGCUUGUCAAAGGGGCUGGGGGCUACUUAGAGGAGGGAGAGAUGAUGACAGGAACCCACAUCACAAUUGCAGACCUGAACCAGAGAAGGCCCUGGAGGGAGAGAAAGGGUUUAGAAGAGGUCAGUCACCCUCAGUGGAGGAGGCUAUUUUUUCCCUUUCCCUGUCUAGCUGAAGGCUGGAGCCCCAUCCAUCAGCUCAAAUGGCUUUCCUAAGAGUGGCAAUGGGCGUUAAGUGACUUGCCCAGGGUCACACAGAUAGUAAGUGUCAAGUGUCUGAGGCCGGAUCCGAACUCAGGGACUCCUGAAUCCAGGGCUGGUGCUUUAACCACUGCGCCAUCUAGCUGCCCCCUGGUCACUUAAUCUUUAUGUGCCUCAGACAAGUCCUUUGGGUUUAUGUAUUAUUAGGGGUUCUUAACCUGAAGCCUGUGAACUUAACCAUUUUUGAUUGAUUUCCUUUGUAAUUCUAUAUAGUUCUCUUAUGUAUUUAAAAAACAUUAUUCUGAGAAGUGGUCCAUAAAGGUUUGAUGUACUGCCCAAGGGAUCCGUGAUACGGAAAUUCUAGGAAUCCCUGUACUAGGUCAUAGAUGAGUCACAAUCUGACACAAUCAGAGGUGGAGCUUCUUACACCAAGAGCCCCCCAUGCUGAUUCUCCAGUCAUUUGUGUCUUUAUAGAAACUGGAGAUAAUAUCUACUCCACUUGCCUCAUAGCUCUAUUGCAAGAAUCAAGUGACAUAAUAAACAUGAUAGCUCUUUGUAAACCUUAAGGCUCCAUCUAAAUGUUAAGGUAUGAUUAUGAUAAGAUUGUCCAGGGGAGCUGCUCAAAGUGAUGGGCAUCAUAAGGCCUGGAAAUGGCUCAUCUUCUUACCAUGUGGGAAUAGAGAAUUCCCCCUGGGAAGGUUAAGAUGCUAAUAUCAUCAUUAGCAUUAUCAGGCAGAAGGGAAACAACCUAUUAACGGUCCACCAGCACUCUGAGAGACCCAAGCAACAUGCAUUUGGCCUCAUAUAAUGAUAAAAAUGUGGCUAAUAAUUAAAAGGAAGUGACCCCCACACAUAGCUCCGCAAUUAAUGGAGGUCUGGUGAGGCCAUCAGAAAUGUUUUCUUUUCCCUCCUUCCUUCUUUCUUAAAAGACAAAUAAUGGAAAGGAGUCACCGGGUAAUCUGUAGCUUCUGUUUAUAAAUGAUUAUGCCCCAGUAGUUCCAAGCCUGUGCCUCAGCUUCUUUGCCUUCCUUUGUCCAACAAGUCACUUAACCUCCAAGUCCCCCAGGCCUAUUUCUAAGGGGCAGAGAAGGCACUGAACUUUUUCAGGAGAGGAAAUCCCUCCCUUGGAAUUUCCUGCACACUUAAAUCUUAGGUUGAGUUAAAAAAAAGUUUACAAAGAACUUUUCUCACAACGCCUCUGUGAAGUAUGGAGUAUAAGCAUCUUUAGCUCUGCUCUGAAGAGAUCUUGGGGAGAUUAAGCUCACACAGCUCUUAAAUGUUGUACGAGGAUUGAGUCCAGGUCCAUCACUCUUUCUGUGAUACCAUGCUGUCUCUGUGAUGAUAGUGAUGAUGAAGAUAGGGGUAACAACAAAAUAAAAAUAAUUAUAGUUGGUAUUGAUAAUGCUUUAGAAUUUGUUAAACACCUUAUAUACAGUGACUCUGUAGGGAGGGUCAUAGCCAGUGACCAAGGACAUUCAACCAAAAGUCCAAGGUAUAUCAGAUCCAGGCAAGAUGUCCUUGGCUGUGGUAUAUGAAUGUAAUGGAAUACUAUUGUGCUGUAAGAAAUGAUGAGCAGGAGGAUUUCAGAGAAACCUGGAAGGACUUACAUGAACUGAAGCUGAGUGAG